rnacentral:rRNA from 12 species
CUGAAGAGUUUGAUCAUGGCUCAGAUUGAACGCUGGCGGCAGGCUUAACACAUGCAAGUCGAACGAGAAGCUACCUUCGGGUAGUGGAAAGUGGCAGACGGGUGAGUAACGCGUGGGAAUAUACCUAGAGGUACGGAACAACGCCGGGAAACUGGUGCUAAUACCGUAUGUGCCCUUCGGGGGAAAGAUUUAUCGCCUUUAGAUUAGCCCGCGUUAGAUUAGCUUGUUGGUGAGGUAAAAGCUCACCAAGGCGACGAUCUAUAGCUGGUCUGAGAGGAUGAUCAGCCACAUCGGGACUGAGACACGGCCCGAACUCCUACGGGAGGCAGCAGUGGGGAAUAUUGGA